rnacentral:rRNA from 1 species
UACGUAGGGUGCGAGCGUUGUCCGGAAUUAUUGGGCGUAAAGAGCUUGUAGGCGGUUUGUCGCGUCUGCCGUGAAAAUCCGGGGCUCAACCCCGGACUUGCGGUGGGUACGGGCAGACUAGAGUGUGGUAGGGGAGACUGGAAUUCCCGGUGUAGCGGUGAAAUGCGCAGAUAUCAGGAAGAACACCCGUGGCGAAAGCGGCUCUCUGGAACGGUACUGACGCUGAGACGCGAAAGCGUGGGGAGCGAACAGG